rnacentral:lncRNA from 1 species
AGAGCGCGCAGAGCAAGGCCGCCGCCAGCUCUCCCAGGAACCGUCGCGAGGCGUCCCCUCGGCGGCCGCCUCAGUUUCCCUGGCCGUAAAACGCGGGCGAUGGCGCUCGAUGCCCCGGGAGACGCCGGGGUCCGCGGGCCCUUCCGGCACCGGGUCCUCCUUCAGGUUCGGGCACCCGGCUGCCUCCACGCGGGGCGAGCGCGGCGAUGGGAUCGGUCCGUGCUGCGCUCAGCCCCGCUUUCGCUAUCCCUCUGCUCCAGGGGCAGCAAAAUCAGCAGAUGAGCCCCCAGCGCGCCUGCGGCCCACACACUGCGGCCGUAACAGUUAAACAGACGGGGAACAUUCAUGUGCGUAGAGCUCUUCACGGGGCGAUACAGAAAUGUGUCGUUCUAAAGCGUUAACGACCUGCAAUUUGCAUAUCCUCCAACACAUGGAUUUUACUGAUUCAAUUAUGGAUGUGUGCAAAGAAUCUGCUGCUCGCACCCUGUGAGGAGGGUUACCUCUGUGGAGCCGGUGAAGGCGAUCUUGUUGAUCUGAGGGUGAGAAGAAAUUGCUGCUCCCACUGUGGGCCCGAAUCCUGGCACAAUGUUCACCACUCCUGGAGGGAACCCGGCCUGGGAAGAAAUCAAGAUAGCACUUGAAGAAGAACGGACUUCAUCCACCACGGAUCCACAUUUGGGCCGAGAGAGCCGUGGCUGCCUCACAUCCCCACAGGGAACCCGGGCCGGGCUGGAUUUACCCAGGACCCAGAAGCAGUUGACCGUGGGCACCCUGGGAGCUGACCUGGGCUUCUCAUCCCCUGCUGCCAGCCCAGUGUGCAGGCUGGGCAAGGGGAGAUGCCCACUUCUCCUUCUGGGGGGGGACCCCAUCCCAAAGUGAUAUGCAGUGCAAAUGUGUGGUUAUGCUUCAAGGUGGCCAUGGCCCGCCUGUAGCACAGCACCUUUCCAUGUGGGGUGUGUGUGUGUGUGAGGGAGAGUGUGUGUAUGCGUUAAGGGGAGAGGGGUACCUUGAUCAGAAUGCCCUGCCCAGGAUCAGAGGCACCUGCAAAAUAUCUGCCAAGAGCUUCAGUUUUGUUUUUUCUUCUUUUUUUUUUUUUUGAGAUGGAGUCUUGCUCUGUCGCCCUGGCUAGAGUGUAGUGGCGCGAUCUUGGCUCACUGUAAGCUCCGCCUCCCAGGUUCACGCCAUUCUCCUGUCUCAGCCUCCUGAGUAGCUGGGACUACAGGUGCCCGCCACCACGCCUGGCUAAUUUUUUUUUUUUUAAGUAGAGAUGGGGUUUCACUGUGUUAGCCAGGAUGGUCUCGAUCUCCUGACCUCGUGAUCCACCCACCUCGGCUUCCCAAAGUCCUGGGAUUACAGGCGUGAGCCCAGUUUUCAUUUUUUAAUCAGACCCGUUAUUAUUCCAAAUGGUGACAGGGUAUCACUCCCUUAAAGUUCUUUGCUUGUUCAACCUGGGUCUCACCUGGAGCAAGCCCUUCUGGAAGGCAGGGACUGCCACCUCGUUCACGUUCAUGCCUCGUGUUUUUCAUAUACUAAGCCUCUUUAUCAGGCGAGAACACAAAACAAACGAGGUGGAGGAUGCUCUUCCCCACCUGUGCUGAGUCUUACUUAGAACACAUUAUUUCAGAAAAUCAAGAUUUUAGGCACGCUGCUUGAGUCUUUAGAUUUUUAGGCACUGUUUCUUAACAGUUGGGAUUUUCACAUUCCUAAGUCUCACCAGUGUGACUUAAUUAUGCCCCACAUCACCAAAGGAAAGUGGAAAAUUGGCUCAUCACCAGCUGUUCCCACCUUGCUUCUAAGCAACUGUGGACCUGCCUGCCGGUCAUAUCAGCCCGACUAAGAAGAGAAAGGAAUGGAUCUUUUCUUCUGUCCCUCUUUGCUUCCUGUUGCUUUCUCUAAAUCUUUGCUCCAUACAACCUGGGGAUGGAAUGACUAAAGGUAUGUCUGGAAGGAGGUGUCCCAUUGAGCCUCUGUUUCCCUAAGUUCUGGCUGCCUGAGGGAGAAGAGAUUGCAUUCAGAGCAGAGGGCACUGAUUAGCAGGGACCCGGCACACGGACUGCUGCAGCCGCCCAGCUAGAGCUGACGAGGCCACCUCUCCAGAGAAAAAUGGACCAUUUCAUAAACUGAGAAUGCAAAUCCCAGAGAACCUCCCAAAUAUUUGGCUCCCUCUUGGUUGACCCCCCCUGAAAAUUCUCUAGACAAACCACUGGGUCCUCAACCAUAGGUUUGAGCCCAUAAUAAGAGUUAAGCAUUCUCAUUAGGACCACUGGGAGGAAUGGAGUUUCUCCAGCUCAGUGGCCACAAGCAGGAGAAAGAACGUGCAGUCGCCAAACAAAACACUGGAAGUCAUUCCCUUCCCACUCGAUUGCCAGCAGUCUGCCACUGUCCCAUCUCGUGACGGUGGCCUGGUUCCUAGGAGUGGGAAUGUUACCAAGAACAUGUGAUAUUUUCUUUUUGGAUGUCUCACCUCUUUGAUCAGAGAGCCGAGAUAAAGGGCGGUGAGAGGUGUCUGCUCCGCAGGCUUCAGGACCAUGGUGUUCCCACAGCAGAGGGCGGGUGCCAGCUUCCACACCAGCAUCAGCAGGGGGAAGUUCCACUGCGACAGAGCACAGGGGCUUUGGAGGCCCAGAUCCACCCUCUUACCCUGUCCCAUGUGCUCAACGAUGCCUUUGUGGAGGACACUUGCUUUUCAUGGUCUGGAUUUGGGGUAUGUGGGGUAACAUAGGAGUGUGCAAUGAUCAGAACUGCAAUCCUGCACAGCACUUCCUAAACUGCAUUCUGGGUGGUACUAAUAGGCAGCCUUUGCAAAG